rnacentral:rRNA from 1 species
GACGAACGCUGGCGGCGUGCUUAACACAUGCAAGUCGAACGGCAAGGCUCCAGGCUGUUGCUGUUCUCGUGUGGGGCACGCGGGUGUGUCAUGCGUGUAUUCCGCGCUGCUUUCUCGGGUAUGACUGGGGAACUGGGUCUACUAUACUAUAUGACCCUUCUCACUGUGGGGUUUUGUGGAGAGUUGUUCGGUGUUGGAUGAGCUGGCGGCCUAUCAGCUUGUCGGUGGGGUGAUGGCCUACCACGGCGACGCCGGGUAGCCGGCCUGAGAGGGUGAGCGGCCACAUUGGGACUGAGAGACGGCCCAGACUCCUACGGGAGGCAGCAGUGGGGAAUAUUGCACAAUGGGCGGAAGCCUGAUGCAGCGACGCCGCGUGAGGGAUGACGGCCUUCGGGUUGUAAACCUCUUUCAGCAAGGACGAAGCGUAAGUGACGGUACCUGCAGAAGAAGCACCGGCUAACUACGUG